CCUUCCGCUGUCAGCGGCGCCCCCUAGGUGACUCUACCACCUCUGGUAGACUUCGUUCGAAUUGGCGGCUCGAGCCCCUGGUUCCACUGAAGACAAACCCAGCUUGGCAUUAAAGCGUCUGCCCUGGGUGACUUCUGCCUCUUUCCCUCGCACCGCUGCCGCACUGCUCUUCAGCUCGACCAAGCCGUUGUCCUCACUGGAAAUAGCAGACCCUUUCUCCCCAGAGACUGCCUCCGGCUUUGGAAGAAGCUUCCAGGAUAUCCAUCCAGAAAGUCAGCUAUUCCUUUAUUUCUGGGUUUUGCUUUUCUUCAUGAAGAAGGCAAUCAAAAAGAAAACUAUCCAGUUGCUGAGGAUAUUCUAUGAAGUUCUCUGAAGCUGACCUCAAACUCGUGAUCCUCCUGCCUCAGGCUCCAGAGUUGCUGGGAUGACAGGCAUGUAACACCACAUCCUGCUUUAGCUACUUUUGAUCUGCAAGACAGUGAAUUAUUUACAUGUCCUGUAUUGACCUUACUGCCUCCCAUUAAAGUUUUCCAAUUACAAUCUGGAAAGUCCACCUUACCUUGGCUGCAUAGAUGAAGAUGUGGAGUCUAAUGCUGACUGAGCUUCUGGGACACUGCCAUCUGUGCACUGAACUGGUAAAGAUUCAGACAGACUACUGACAGAAGUUGCUGUAACAGUACCAUAAUUCAUGUUAGUGGUUCUAUACUAUGGACAGACCAACAACAUCUUAAAAAAAAAAAAAACACAAAAAACACCAAAGUCCUCUUAUUGCCCAUGCUCCAUUACUUUACUUUCCAAGGAUAGUUACAUUUACUUGAGUUAUGCCUGUUUUCUUAAGGUAGUAAGAGUUUUUGUAGCACAGCAAAUAAGAUUGUGGAAUGGCUUUACACUAUUACUCUUAGUCCCUACUUUCCACCAUGACAAUCACAAUGUAUAAAAGAAAUGUUACUAAGAUAAAUGUGGUAAUGCAAGUACCAUGUGACAGCAGAAAAUGGUUUUGGAUACACUAGGCCAAACAAGUGUAUUUCAAUUAUGAGAUGCUGAAUUACCGAGAUCACUGUAAUUACAGAAUUACUUACCAGGUGGGCUUAUUCUACCAUUACUACUAUUCUGUCUUUGAAGAUGUUCUUUAUAGCAUACUGAACACAUGCCAUUUGUACGAGGGUUUCCAUAAAAUCCGCAGCCAGUGGAACAAAGCAUAGGCACUUGGCUGUGAUUAGUUUCUUGAGCCAUGUUCCUCUGUUGCACACCUGAAAUUUAUACAGAAUUAAUAAAGAACUCAGACACAAGACUUCAGUAAUAAUUAUCCUAAUAUGCUUUCUAUAUAAUAAAGGAUAAAACCCCACAUAUGCACCACACCCCUCCCCACCAACCACUCUAUACAACAGUCCCAAGAGCUAGGGCAAAAGUUAAUAGAAAAUAAAAAACAAAGGGCACACUGAACUUUUAUCUCCAAUCAACUCUACACAAGGAAAGAGGCCUGUUUUUGUGUUUGUUUUUCCUUGACCAUAGACCCUUUAUUUCUACAUCAGCAACUCUGGCAUAGACUUGAACAUUUCUUUUUCUUUCUUUCUUUUUUUAAUUUGUGAGAAGACCUGUUUUGAAGACCAUACCAUUUGAAAUUAAGAAAAACUCUUUAAAUAUAGUUCAGUUGGACCCUUCUAGUAAUGAAAAAUAUACAUCAUAAGUUUUGCUAUAUGUUACACUAAUCUCUAAACAUAGGCCCAAAUCAUCAUGUUGACUUAGGACCAGACUUCCUUAACAAGACUCCUAAAAGGAAAGAAAUAAA